AUUCGGGGGCCUGCGUGUUCCGGAGCUACGGAGCGGCAACUGAGGCAGGAGCUCAGGACUGGGGGGAGAAAGAGAGACCCUGGAAGCGAUUAACGUGCCCCUUGCUUUACAGAUGUGGCAGAUAAGACACGAGAGGGAGCUCUGGUCCCCGAGGGGCUGUCCCGGGAGGGAGCGAGGUGGGGAGGGGGAGCAGGCCCUGCCCCGAGCACCCCGCGGACUGAGCGUCUGGCGUGCACGGCGGAGGGGUUACCGCGGGGAGGUGACACCCCAGGGUGGUGAGGGCACGCAGAUGAGGCUGGCCUGAGGGGUGCCUGCUUUGGGGAAAGCAGUCUGUGGAGGGAGGGAAGGAGGGCGAUCGCGGCCCCACGCGGGUUGUGCUGCUGAGGCUCCGCGCCGCAGGAAAGGCACCCUAGCCGGAUUCGCCCUCGGACGCCCCAGCUGGGCACACUCACGCGGCUCUCCCGCGGCUUCUCGGGAAUUCGCCUCCAGGGCAAUCAGCUCUUCGCACAAACGUUCAAACCAAGGCAGAGUGCGGGAAGGAAAGGACAGCUGAUACCCAGGAGCCUCCAGAAAGGAGAGGGCUGUGCCAUGGCCAGGCACCCCUGCACCCCUCCCCCAACACCCCAGGCAUGGUCAUCGGGCCCUUGGAGCUUUGCCAGGGCCAGGACUCUGCUUCGGCGUGCAGGCAGGACCUGGGAACCUGGGUCUCUGGCAUCUUGUUCUGAACGUGGGGAUUCUUCCGGAGGGCAGAGCAGACGUGCCCAUGCCUCUUCUCCACCAAACCCAGGAGCUGGGAGCGAACAGCAGGGCCGGCAUCCAUCCCAGGCACACAGGGGCACACAUCAGCUCUGGCUGCCCAUCCCUCUCUGAGCAUUGCAGAAAGGCGGGUGCCGCAGGGCUCCCAGCUCACCCCAAGUUCCUCUUAGCAAUAGAAAACCUGAAUUCCCCUCUUCUGAGUAUUUUGAAGGCAACAGGAUGUACAUGUUCAACAUUCAUCUUCUGGUUUGAGCUCGUUCCGCGGUUCUAGCAGGGGAGUGGUAUACACUUGACCACAGAACCGUUGUCCUCUAUCAGAGAAGAUUCUCCUCUUCCACCCAGCACGCAGCUUCAGGAGAGAUCCACAUGGAGCAGUGAGGGAGGAAAGGGAUGCCUGCCUAAGCCAGCAGGUGUCAACCCAUUCGAAUCAACCCUCUGCAGAAUGGUAGCCCCAGGCGGCGUGCCUGUCAUUUGCUCUGAUCAUCUAUUAUGCGCACCGCAUGAUAGCAGCAGCCCCCCACCAUCUGUUUAGGAUCCUUAUUAUGUGGGUGUCACAUUUAAGUGCCUAUUAGCACAGCUUCCCUGAGCCCCUCCUGCAGCUGCUACCACCCUUUGGUGCCAAAGCCCAGGCGGUUGUUCUUGUUGACUCUGUUCUCCUUCCCAGAACACUGAUUACUGCUGGGAGGGCUGGCAACUCCCCACAGCCCUCUAGAGCAGCAGCUGAAAGCGCCUGGUUAUUAAAAAGGCUUAGAGCUCCUGAUAAGAGAGAAGGAUCGCUUUAUAAUUCCUAUGUAGACUUCUAAAUUAUUCCCUCGGCCCUCAUCCUCUGCCACCAGAUUCCCCUCCACCAGUUGGAAGGCUUAGUUAACGAGUCAGAUAUGAGCAGGCGCUGAUAUAAAAAUAGAGGCAGGCAGUGGGAGCUGGCACUGUGACUCACCGUGUGGCAGGCGUGGGGCUCUGCAGACAGCUGCAGGCAGGCCUUAUGCCCUCCCCCUCGGCCUCCUCUUCCCCUCCCCUACCUCUCCCUGUCCCCUCCUCCCCCCCUCCCCCUCCUCCUCUCUCCUCUCCUAGUUCCCUCUCCCUUCCUUCCCUUUCCUCCCCUUUCCGUCUCCCUUCUCCCCCCCACCCCUUCAUCUCUCCUUCCUCCCUCUCCCCUCCCCCCUCCCCUUUCCAGCCCCAGAGCACAGGCCUUCAAGCAGACCCUGGGUCCAGCCAGGCUUUUUGAGCAGGUUUCUCAUAUUUAUCAUUCCCUCGAGGCAGUGAGUGAAAUGGGAGGGAAUGCCGAAAUAGCACAGACUCUCAUUCUCCUGCGGGCUUUUUGAGUUUUCUGCAGAGAACAUUCUAAUGACCCUCCCUUCCAGCCCCAAGGCUCCAACAGACUGAGAGGAAGUAAAAGGGCUGCUGGGACCCAGGUCGUACCGCAAUCUCAGGCCCAGCCUGCCCCCGUCUCCCCACUAGGCACGCCAUCUCCAGGGCUCCCAACUUGCCUGGUUCCCCACACCAGCCGAAGCUCCCAAAGGAAGGUGCCCUCGUUGAGCAUCCAAAUGUGUGAAUCAGAGACCUGAAAGCUAUCAUUCAGUUCUCCCUCCUACACCCACCGAGGCCAGGUUCUGUGUGCAUGUGUGUGUGUGUUUCUCUCUCCCUCUGUCUCCUUAAAACAGUUCAAUGGAUUUCCAUUGCUCUUAAAAUAAAAAUUAUAUAUACAUUCA